rnacentral:rRNA from 1 species
GAGCGGCGAACGGGUGAGUAACACGUGAGUNACCUGCCCUAGGCUUUGGGAUAACCCUCGGAAACGGGGGCUAAUACCGAAUAUUCAUGUCAGGCGGCAUCGUCUGGUGUGGAAAGUUUUUCGGCCUGGGAUGGGCUCGCGGCCUAUCAGCUUGUUGGUGGGGUGAUGGCCUACCAAGGCGACGACGGGUAGCCGGCCUGAGAGGGCGACCGGCCACACUGGGACUGAGACACGGCCCAGACUCCUACGGGAGGCAGCAGUGGGGAAUAUUGCACAAUGGGCGGAAGCCUGAUGCAGCGACGCCGCGUGAGGGAUGAAGGCCUUCGGGUUGUAAACCUCUUUCGACAGGGACGAAGCGCAAGUGACGGNNACCUGGAGAAGAAGCGCCGGCCAACUACGUGCCAGCAGNCGNGGUAAGACGUUAGGGCGCGAGCGUUUGCCCGGAUUUAUUGGGCGUAAAGAGCUCGUUAGGCGGCUUGUUGCGUCAGCUGUGAAAACCCGCAGCUCANCUGUGGGCUUGCAGCUGAUACGG